GUCCUAGUAGCUUAAAAUAAAAGCACUG
rnacentral:tRNA from 1 species